ACAAACACACUCUCUAUCUCUCUCUACUCUACCCAGCCGUUCGGACUUGCUACCUCUCUCGAUUAGGUAACCCCCCUCUCUCUCUCAUACUUCGUAUCGUUUUGCUUUUUACGGUUUUAUAGAUUUCGUUAUUCGUUUUGAUUCAUUGGGUUUUAUAGAUUAAGGGUUUGAUUGUGAGUUUAGGGGUUUUGAUUCACCUAUUGGCUUGUUCGUUUUGGUUAUUUAAAAGUGGUUGUUUGCUGACUUACUUCAUAUAUGCUCAAGGAGGAGGAAGAGGAUCUGGAGAUCGGUUGGUGAUCGGUUCAUAUAUGUUCAAGGUUUGGCAUCCGCGUCAGCAACACAUUCGGUAGAUCUCCUACCUCAGUUUUGACUUUGAUUUUGUUUCUGAGUGUGGUAAAUAUUUAGUUGUUUGUGUUUAAAGUUUGAUAGCCUUUUCUUGUGUGAUAAAUUUUAUGAAUCAAGUAAUUGGAAUCUAGAGAUUAGCUGUUUUUUCAUCCCCUGCAUUAAUGCACAGAGUGAGUUGAGUGAAUUGUAAUUUUGCAGAGGGUUGAAGUUGAUGCUUGUUUUUAUGAAUGUGUGUGUUGAUAGGAGCAUAAAAUACGACAUUCUUAAUGUGUUAUUACCUCCAUUUUGUAUUUUGAUUAUCUCUUAUUGUCGUAGAAUAGAGUCAUAAUGUAG
rnacentral:lncRNA from 1 species